GCCCAGACUCCUACGGGAGGCAGCAGUGGGGAAUAUUGCACAAUGGGGGAAACCCUGAUGCAGCGACGCCGCGUGAGUGAAGAAGUAUUUCGGUAUGUAAAGCUCUAUCAGCAGGGAAGAAAGAAAUGACGGUACCUGACCAAGAAGCCCCGGCUAACUACGUGCCAGCAGCCGCGGUAAUACGUAGGGGGCAAGCGUUAUCCGGAAUUACUGGGUGUAAAGGGAGCGUAGACGGUUAAGUAAGUCUGGAGUGAAAGGCCGGGGCCCAACCCCGGGACUGCUCUGGAAACUAUUCAACUUGAGUGAGCGAGAAGUAUGCGGAAUGCGUGGUGUAGCGGUGAAAUGCAUAGAUAUCACGCAGAACUCCGAUUGCGAAGGCAGCAUACCGGCGCUCAACUGACGCUGAAGCACGAAAGCGUGGGUAUCGAACAGGAUUAGAUACCCCGGUAG
rnacentral:rRNA from 1 species